rnacentral:rRNA from 1 species
AUUGAACGCUGGCGGCAUGCCUUACACAUGCAAGUCGAACGGCAGCGCGGGGAGCUUGCUCCCUGGCGGCGAGUGGCGGACGGGUGAGUAAUGCGUAGGAAUCUACCUUACAGUGGGGGAUAACCCGGGGAAACUCGGGCUAAUACCGCAUAAUCUCUACGGAGCAAAGCAGGGGACCUUCGGGCCUUGUGCUGGAAGAUGAGCCUACGUCGGAUUAGCUAGUUGGUGGGGUAAAGGCCUACCAAGGCGACGAUCCGUAGCUGGUCUGAGAGGACGAUCAGCCACACUGGGACUGAGACACGGCCCAGACUCCUACGGGAGGCAGCAGUGGGGAAUAUUGGACAAUGGGGGAGACCCUGAUCCAGCAAUGCCGCGUGUGUGAAGAAGGUCUUCGGGUUGUAAAGCACUUUCAGCGGGGAAGAAAGAACCAAAAUUAAUACUUUUGGGUGUUGACGUUACCCGCAGAAGAAGCACUGGCUAACUCUGUGCCAGCCGCCGCCGUAA